UUUUAAAUUAUUUUUUAAUUUUAGGCCAUAUUUUAUAUGAUUGCCAAAUAUGUAUCUAAAAAAUUUAAAAUAAUAAAUCACGCUAUUAAGAAAAAUAUGCUUUAAAUGAUAAAUAAUUAACAAUAAUCUCUAAUGCAAAAUUUACUUUUGAAAUUAAAUAGAAAAAUAAAAUCUGUUAGGAAAUAAAUUUUUGAAAUUAAAUAGAAAAAUAAAAUCCGUUAUCUUAAAAAGAAAAUAUAUUUUGAAAUUAAAUAGAUAAUAUCUAAAAAAGAUAUUUUAAAAUAAAAUAGAAAAAUAUCUUUUAUAGGAUUUUCACACCCGUAAUCUGUUAUAGAAAACUUAUUUUUGAAAUUAAAUAAAAAAAUUUAUAUUUUAAGAUUUUUACAUCAGUAAUCUGUUAUAGAGAACUUACGUCAUUGCUGUUUUUAUUUCUAUUUUUAUUCUUAUAUUUAAAAUUUUUCGUACGGAAAGAGGAAAAUGGUCGCUAAUUUUCCCGCCGAAAAAUCGGUCUGUCGACAGACCCAAAUUUGAAUAUACAUGCUUUUAUAUAUAGUAUAGAUAUAUAUAUGAGUCCGGCUACUAUACUUUUAUGAGUAUUGGCUCCUUUAUACUCAUAAGUUUUCGACCCUUAGAUUUAUUCCAUUAAUCAUUUUCAUCCGUUAGAUCAUACUAUUUAACCAACUGCCCACUCAAUCCUAGGGGACCACUAUCAUUCUAAGUGGGGACUACCAUAAUCCUAACCACACAUCCCNUCUAUAUAUAUAUAUAUAUAUAUAUUCGAGCUUUUCGAGCCUAAUUCGAACGAGACGAGUAAUACUCAAGCUCAGCUUGAAAUGAAUUUCGAGCCUUUUAUUUUGUUCAAGCUUGGCUCAUUUAAUUUCGAGUCG
rnacentral:lncRNA from 1 species